GGAGCUGUCAGCCCCGGCUGCACUGUCCCCUCACCUGCAGCGUGUGGACCGCUGGGGACACCAUUCUCUGCAGGCCGUGCGGGCUGCCUGUCAGUGCUGAGAAUGCUACGGUUUCAGCAUCAUUCAGGUUGCAGCCAUUACACUGUGCAGGGGCUGGGAAGAGAUAAGCUCCUCCCCCUUUCACCCCUCUGUGUUUCCAGCAGGCCGGGCUCAGCUUACUGCCCUCCACCACAGGCCCGGACACCUACCCAAUGCCUCCAGACCCCCCCUGCCCACCCUGAUGCUGCCCUUCAUGAGGAUCAGAAUCCGCUGACAUAGUGAGGAGCCAUCUGGGCAUCAAGUUCUUCAGCGAGAACACUUAGCUGGACCUGGCGUUUUAUUCUUCCAUUCCAGAUCCAGACACUGAGCAAGGAAGUCACAAUCUGCCGCCUGGAGAGUUUGUCCUUGCGAAAAGACACAUGAGGGGGCCGCAGGAACCUAGAUUUGAAGGUCCUUAUCCGUUUCUACUGACAACUCUGACUUCGGUGAAACAGGAAGGAGAAUCAACAUGGAUACGCCUCACACUGCAAGAGGGUUCCUAC